rnacentral:rRNA from 1 species
ACGGGGGAGGAACACGUGGGUAACCUGCCCUUAAGUGGGGGAUAACAUUUGGAAACAGAUGCUAAUACCGCAUAGAUCCAAGAACCGCAUGGUUCUUGGCUGAAAGAUGGCGUAAGCUAUCGCUUUUGGAUGGACCCGCGGCGUAUUAGCUAGUUGGUGAGGUAAUGGCUCACCAAGGCGAUGAUACGUAGCCGAACUGAGAGGUUGAUCGGCCACAUUGGGACUGAGACACGGCCCAAACUCCUACGGGAGGCAGCAGUAGGGAAUCUUCCACAAUGGACGCAAGUCUGAUGGAGCAACGCCGCGUGAGUGAAGAAGGCUUUCGGGUCGUAAAACUCUGUUGUUGGAGAAGAAUGGUCGGCAGAGUAACUGUUGUCGGCGUGACGGUAUCCAACCAGAAAGCCACGGCUAACUACGUGCCAGCAGCCGCGGUAAUACGUAGGUGGCAAGCGUUAUCCGGAUUUAUUGGGCGUAAAGCGAGCGCAGGCGGUUUUUUAAGUCUGAUGUGAAAGCCCUCGGCUUAACCGAGGAAGCGCAUCGGAAACUGGGAAACUUGCGUGCAGAAGAGGACAGUGGAACUCCAUGUGUAGCGGUGAAAUGCGUAGAUAUAUGGAAGAACACCAGUGGCGAAGGCGGCUGUCUGGUCUGUAACUGACGCUGAGGCUCGAAAGCAUGGGUAGCGAACAGGAUUAGAUACCCUGGUAGUCCAUGCCGUANACGAUGAAUGCUAGGUGUUGGAGGGUUUCCGCCCUUCAGUGCCGCAGCUAACGCAUUAAGCAUUCCGCCUGGGGAGUACGACCGCAAGGUUGAAACUCA